GCCAGGCGUGGUGGUGCAUGCCUGUAAUCCCAGCUACUUGGGAGGCUGAGGCAGGAGAAUCGCUUGAACCCAGGAGGCAGAGGUUGCAGAGAGCUGAGAUCAUGCCACUGCACUCCAGCCUGGGCAAUAGAGUGAGACUCUGUCUCAA
ensembl:misc_RNA Metazoa_SRP Metazoan signal recognition particle RNA